UCGUGUAGAGGGAAACAACCCUGACCGACAGCUAAGGCCCCCAAUUCGUGGCUAAGUGGGAAAGGAUGUGGGACUCCCAAAACAACCAGGAGGUUGGCUUAGAAGCAGCCAUCCUUUAAAGAAAGCGUAACAGCUCACUGGUCUAAAUAAGGUGUCCUGCGCCUAAAAUGUAACGGGGCUCAAGCCACGAGCCGAAGCUUCGGAUGCACUCCUUCGGGGGUGAGUGGUAGCGGAGCG
rnacentral:rRNA from 1 species